GACGAACGCUGGCGGCGUGCUUAACACAUGCAAGUCGAACGGAAAGGCCCUGCUUGCAGGGUACUCGAGUGGCGAACGGGUGAGUAACACGUGGGUGAUCUGCCCUGCACUUCGGGAUAAGCCUGGGAAACUGGGUCUAAUACCGGAUAGGAGCCAUUUUUAGUGUGAUGGUUGGAAAGUUUUUUCGGUGUAGGAUGAGCUCGCGGCCUAUCAGCUUGUUGGUGGGGUAAUGGCCUACCAAGGCGGCGACGGGUAGCCGGCCUGAGAGGGUGGACGGCCACAAUGGGACUGGGAUAAGGCCCCGACUCCUACGGGAGGCAGCAGUGGGGAAUAUUGCACAAUGGGCGCAAGCCUGAUGCAGCGACGCCGCGUGGGGGAUGACGGCCUUCGGGUUGGAAACUCCUUUCGCUAGGGACGAAGCUUUUUGUGACGGUACCUAGAGAAGAAGCACCGGCUAACUACGUG
rnacentral:rRNA from 1 species